rnacentral:rRNA from 1 species
GACGAACGCUGGCGGCGUGCUUAACACAUGCAAGUCGAACGGAAAGGCCCCUUUGGGGGUACUCGAGUGGCGUACGGGUGAGUAACACGUGAGUAACCUGCCCUUGACUUCGGGAUAACUUCAGGAAACUGGGGCUAAUACCGGAUAGGAAUCCUUGCUGCAUGGUGGGGGUUGGAAAGCUUCGGCGGUUUUGGAUGGACUCGCGGCUUAUCAGCUUGUUGGUGGGGUAGUGGCUUACCAAGGCUUUGACGGGUAGCCGGCCUGAGAGGGCGACCGGCCACAUUGGGACUGAGAUACGGCCCAGACUCCUACGGGAGGCAGCAGUGGGGAAUAUUGCACAAGGGGCGGAAGCCUGAUGCAGCAACGCCGCGUGCGGGAUGACGGCCUUCGGGUUGUAAACCGCUUUCAGCAGGGGCGAAGCUUGUGGUGACGGUACCUGCAGAAGAAGCACCGGCUAACUACGUG